rnacentral:sRNA from 1 species
GCGAUGAGCUAUUUGCGUAAGUCGGAGGCAAAGCUUUCGAGCUAACGUAUGAAUGUGGUCAUACGGCACUUCGCCGCAAAACGUAAGGAAAGACGCCUGACGAAUUUCAGGCGUC